GCCAGAGGAUGCAAGCGUUAUCCGGAAUGAUUGGGCGUAAAGCGCGUGUAGGCGGUCCGGUAAGUCCGCUGUGAAAGUCGGGGGCUCAACCCUCGGAUGCCGGUGGAUACUGUCGGGCUUGAGUACGGAAGAGGCGAGUGGAAUUCCUGGUGUAGCGGUGAAAUGCGCAGAUAUCAGGAGGAACACCAAUUGCGAAGGCAGCUCGCUGGGACGUUACUGACGCUGAGACGCGAAAGCGUGGGGAGCAAACAGG
rnacentral:rRNA from 1 species